UUGGCUCUAGAUCGUUAGGUCAACAAUAAAUAACAGAGCACCUGCUUUGAUACCAAUUGUUGCCUAAAGGUAGCAACUAAAGAAGGAAGGUGACUUAGGUUCUUGAAAAUUUUGAUCAAAUUUAUGCUUUAAACAUGUACUUUAUUUAACUUAAUUCAGCUUAAUAUGACUGUGUAGUGUAUGCAGUAAAAUCAAAUAUGUAUGAAGCUAAGCAUGAAUUAAACAAAGCUAACCAAGAGUUAAACAGAUUCAGCAAGCAAAGCAAUGAUUAAAAGUGUGCAAGUAUGUAA
rnacentral:lncRNA from 1 species